rnacentral:rRNA from 1 species
CAAUAGCGUAUAUUAAAGUUGUUGCAGUUAAAAAGCUCGUAGUUGGAUUUCUGGGAGGGCGCCAAUGUCCGCCGUCGUGCGUGCGCAGCGGCGCCCUUCCAUCCUUCUGUUAACGCCUCUUGGCAUUCAUUUGCUGGUGGCGGGCUCAGAUAUUUUACCUUGAGAAAAUUAGAGUGUUUCAGGCAGGCUAGGCCGGAAUACAUUAGCAUGGAAUAAUGGAAUAGGACUACGGUCUCGUUGUUGGUUUGAGGGACUGCAGUAAUGAUUAAUAGGGAUAGUUGGGGGCAUUAGUAUUUAAUUGUCAGAGGUGGAAUUCUCGGAUUUGUUAAAGACUAACUUAUGCGAAAGCAUUUGCCAAGGAUGUUUUCAUUAA